CCUAGCCUUCACAUUCACUCACCACUCACUCAGUGACUCACCCAGGGCACCUUCCAGCCCUGCAAGCUCCAUUCGUGGUAAGCAUUACAAUUUUUUUCUUU